rnacentral:lncRNA from 1 species
CCGCACCGAAUUGCUCAUCAACGGGGUAAAGAUUUCCAGGCGGACCCGUUAUAUACAAGAAAUUAGUUGGUGGAGGCGGUGGAUAGUUAGGUGAGACUUUCUUAGGCGGUGGAGGGAGAGCAGGGGGAGGAGGACACGCUGGAGGCGGUGGAGAUGGUGGUGGAGGAGAUGGUGGAGGAGGGUUUUGGAUACAGCUUGGCGAGCACUUUAUGGGAUCUACCUCGUCGAGCUUCCUCAUGUUGGCUGGAGAAGAAUCUGAUGAAGCGUUAAUGAUUAUUGGACAAGUCAGCAACGUGAUCAUCACCGUGAAGAUUAUGACUGCAACGUUGG